UCCCAGACUCCUACGGGAGGCAGCAGUGGGGAAUAUUGCACAAUGGGGGGAACCCUGAUGCAGCGACGCCGCGUGAGUGAAGAAGUCAUUCGUGAUGUAAAGCUCUAUCAGCAGGGAAGAAAAUGACGGUACCUGACUAAGAAGCCCCGGCUAACUACGUGCCAGCAGCCGCGGUAAUACGUAGGGGGCAAGCGUUAUCCGGAUUUACUGGGUGUAAAGGGAGCGUAGACGGCAGUGCAAGUCUGGAGUGAAAGGCGGGGGCUCAACCCCCGGACUGCUCUGGAAACUGUACGGCUGGAGUGCAGGAGAGGUAAGUGGAAUUCCUAGUGUAGCGGUGAAAUGCGUAGAUAUUAGGAGGAACACCAGUGGCGAAGGCGGCUUACUGGACUGUAACUGACGUUGAGGCUCGAAAGCGUGGGGAGCAAACAGGAUUAGAUACCCUCGUAGA
rnacentral:rRNA from 1 species